AAAUACGUGAAUGGAAUAAAAUUUGUAAAAUAUUUGAAUGGAAAGCUUGGUUCUUAACCAAAUAACUCAGAUGUACAUAUUUUAAUGAAAAUCUGAGGUAACAAAAGAAGUUAAAAGUUAUUUAAAUCAAAUUAGCUUCCUAGAGUAAGCCACUUUCACAGAAAAUACUAACAUGAAGAACUUUCAAAGCAGAUCUGACACCUUCAAAAAUAGGAAUGGAAUAUUCUAAUUUUUGUUGUUCUAAGCCAAAUAUGCUUGCUAUUUUAAGCAAUUGCAGUUUUGCGCCAGACAUGACCAGACUGUCCCCUGAACUUGGGUAGCUCACCAGAAAUAUCCCAAACGCGGACAGUCUGGUCCAGGCUAGCUGAUACCACCAGGUCUUCAGAGGGGUGGAACUGAGCACACAUUACAUAAUGGUUGUGCCCCGUUAACACACUGCAAAGAAAAAAAACAUAUGAAAUUAAAGGCAGAAAUCAAUAGCCUCCCUAAGUUAAAUAAAUACCUUUCUUCAUAGUCAACAAAUGCUUGUCUAAUUGUAUUUUGUGGAGGCAAGGUAAGUCAUCUAACAACUCUGAACUAGUAAUAAGCAAUGCCACCUGUGCUAACAGCUUCUUUAAAACACGUAUUUCUUUUUUGUCCAGGCUGUGCUGGUGCAUGCCUUUAAUCUCAGAACCCAGGAAGCAGAGCAGGAGGAUCUCUGAGUUCAAGGGUUGAGAGAAAGAGAGGUACCCAGAAGAAAGGAAGACACUCCCAAGAACUUUUCAAAGAGAAGUCACAGAAUGUAAGACACACCCACAUGUGGGCAUGGGCUCCUCAAGGGAAAGUUGCCUCUGUCUUUUAAGAUGAUCAUUUGCCCGUUAUUCAAACUGUUCCCUGUGCAGCGUCUUCCACACUAGGACUUUAGCUCCCUCUUUGACAAAUCACAAAUAUUCAGUGAGUCUC
rnacentral:lncRNA from 1 species